rnacentral:lncRNA from 1 species
GGUUCCGACAAUUCUCCGGAGAAACCACUAAGCCCAUGUUCAUCUUCAUUAAUUCACUCUCUUUUCGGCCCAACUUAGAAAAAACCAAAAAAGGCAUAAUAUUAACCCCGGCACCGCCAUCAACAAUCAUGCGACCAAUAGGCUUACCAUCGGUAUGACCCCUGAUGAAUAAUGGUUUCAGAUGCUGCUCGGGCUUCUCGGGCUUCUCAAACAUAGCAUUUUUUGCAC